ensembl:lncRNA
CUGACCUAUGAUGAUGUGCAUGUGAACUUCACCCAGGAAGAGUGGGCAUUGUUGGAUCCUUCUCAGAAGAGUCUCUACCAAGAUGUGAUGCUGGAGACCUGUAGGAAUCUCACUGCUAUAGGAUGUACUGACCAAUGAUGAUGUGCAUGUGAACUUCACUCAGGAAGAGUGGGCAUUGCUGAAUCCUUCUCAGAAGAGUCUUUACCACGGUGUAAUGCUGGAGACCGAUAGGAAUCUCAGCGCUAUAGGCUACAUUUGAGAAGACAAUACUACUGAAGAAUACUGUAAAAGUUCUAGAAGACAUGGAAGGUAUGAAAGAAGUUUUCCUGGAAAGCAGACUUUUGAUUUUAUUCAGUAUGGUAAUGGCUUUGCAGUUCAGAGUCAUACCCAAAGGCAUAAUGGAGAGAAGCCCUAUGAAGAGAUUGCAAGCGUGUUGUCAAGCUGCUGCUGUACUCUCUCCAGUUUGAUUUUGGAGGAACUAAGAACUUUGAGUUCUCCUCUUUACUCUGCUUUCAUUGUGUCCCAUAAGUUUAGGGGUCCCUGUAGAGGGCCGCAAUACGUUCGCCACCACUAGAUGGCGCUGUCUUCCACUGCGCCCCACGUGGUAGGUCAGGAUAGACUCCGCCAUUACAAGAUGGCGCCAACCUUCGCUGCGCCAGCCGGCCCCCCCUUUUCAGUCGCGCGCGGGACAUUUGGUGCCGAGAAUCCGGGACACAGAAAGCUACAUCAUCGCCGGUGCCAAGAGGAAGCCUCCGUUUCACGGAAGAAAUCCAGAAGCUGUGGAAUGCAGGUAAAAAGAACUCUGAGAGACAAUGUUUAGCCCUGAUCUGCUCCAGCUCAGUCCCCUGCCGGACAUGGCAGGUGCCGCUAUGGUUGCUCUGGCAACCCUCGAGUUGUUUCUAUUGACCUUUGAGUUUCUAGCUACCGCCAAAAGGCGUCAGAGGUCGCGUGGGAACUGCCCAGCUGUAACAGCAAAGCGGAGAGUGUUGGGGGAAGGGCGAAAAUCGUCAGAAACAGAGGAUAGUGAAAAGUUGCAAUGAACUGAUCGAUCUCAAGCACCAGGCCCCCCUGCGGUCUUACCACCGCCAGGGGUGAAAAAUUGGGGAACGAAUGCCCCGGGUGAGAAGGGAGGAGGUAAAAGGAACAUAGUAUUUUGGGAGAAAAACUUUGUCUUAGUGCUUAUGUAAGGUGUAAUUAAGCUCCCGCGCCGGCUCUGGGGACGCCGCGGCGUCCGGGCGCUGACGCGACAGCUUUACAGAGUCAUACUGAUCAGAUUUGAUAGAGGCAGACUGCCUGAAAAUUUAUUCAGGAGAAUCAAACAAAAGGACAUCUCAGUGCCCGUACACAGCCUGAUAGAGUUAAUGUAAUUGGGUUGUGAGUAAAAAACUCAGGGCUGUGUUUCACUUCCAUACCAUUGGCGAAUGUCGGUCGUUCUGUUCAGAUAAUAUCUCUCAGUAUCUUACAGAAAUUGGGUUUCAACACGUUGGUGGACUAGUCCAGGAAUUGAGACAAUCCAUCGCCCAUAUCAACUCCACUCGAGUGGAUAGUCGCCGUGAACACCAUCUGGCUUUUUCCCCUCUUUGUCUAUUGUUUGUCUCUGGUGCACCAGGAUGUCCCCAUGUCUGUCAGUGUAUGUCUGUGGUUUUUGUUUCUCGUUGUCUAAAAGUUUUAUGUUUCAUGUUCAAAAGAAAAAAUGGUAAAAACUUUAUCUGCC